UACAGUGAGAACUAUAUUGCUCGACUAUCGUAAGGCGUUCGAUCUUAUUGAUCAUAGUAUCUUACGAGGUAAACUUUGUAAUUAAAUUGGAUUUGCCUAGAAGCGUAAUAAAUUGGGUCAUCGAUUUUUUAUCAGACCGCUUACAGCGAAUUAAACUCGCCGACGGAUGUUUUUCAGAAUGGGGUUCUGUGCCCUCCGGGGUCCCCCAGGGAACAAAUCUAGGACCAUGGUUAUUUCUUGCCUUCAUCAACGAUUUAAAUCUUUGCGAUAUCCAGAAUGCUGACAUGUGUAAAUAUGUUGACGAUACAACAACCACC